rnacentral:rRNA from 1 species
GAUGAACGCUAGCGGGAGGCCUAAUACAUGCAAGUCGAACGGUAACAUAGGGGCUUGCCCCUGAUGACGAGUGGCGCACGGGUGAGUAACGCGUACGCGACCUGCCCCUGGCCGGGGGACAGCUGCGGGAAACUGCAGGUAAUACCCCAUGGUCCUCUGGAGCUGCCUGGCUCUGGAGGUAAAGUUUCGGCGGCCGGGGAUGGGCGUGCGUCCGAUUAGCUAGUUGGCGGGGUAACGGCCCACCAAGGCGACGAUCGGUAGGGGGCGUGAGAGCGUGGACCCCCACACGGGUACUGAGACACGGACCCGACUCCUACGGGAGGCAGCAGUAAGGAAUAUUGGACAAUGGGCGGAAGCCUGAUCCAGCCAUCCCGCGUGCAGGAAGAAGGCGCUCUGCGUCGUAAACUGCUUUUACAGGGGAAGAAACCCUCUCUUUUUGAGGGGCUGACGGUACCCUGCGAACAAGCACCGGCUAACUCCG